rnacentral:rRNA from 1 species
AGUGAACGCUGGCGGCAGGCCUAACACAUGCAAGUCGAACGGCAGCACGGCAGUAGCAAUACUGUGGAUGGCGAGUGGCGGACGGGUGAGGAAUACAUCGGGAUCUACCCUGUUGUGGGGGAUAACGUAGGGAAACUUACGCUAAUACCGCAUAAGAACUGAGGUUGAAAGCGGCGGACCGCAAGGCGUCGCGCGAUUGGAUGAACCGAUGUCCGAUUAGCUAGUUGGCGGGGUAAAGGCCCACCAAGGCGACGAUCGGUAGCUGGUCUGAGAGGACGACCAGCCACACUGGAACUGAGACACGGUCCAGACUCCUACGGGAGGCAGCAGUGGGGAAUAUUGGACAAUGGGCGCAAGCCUGAUCCAGCCAUGCCGCGUGGGUGAAGAAGGCC